GACGAACGCUGGCGGCGUGCUUAACACAUGCAAGUCGAACGGAAAGGCCCUGCUUUUGUGGGGUGCUCGAGUGGCGAACGGGUGAGUAACACGUGAGUAACCUGCCCUUGACUUUGGGAUAACUUCAGGAAACUGGGGCUAAUACCGGAUAGGAGCUCCUGCUGCAUGGUGGGGGUUGGAAAGUUUCGGCGGUUGGGGAUGGACUCGCGGCUUAUCAGCUUGUUUGUGGGGUAGUGGCUUACCAAGGCUUUGACGGGUAGCCGGCCUGAGAGGGUUGCCGGCCACAUUGGGACUGAGAUACGGCCCAGACUCCUACGGGAGGCAGCAGUGGGGAAUGUUGCGCAAUGGGCGGAAGCCUGAUGCAGCAACGCCGCGUGCGGGAUGACGGCCUUCGGGUUGUAAACCGCUUUCGCCUGUGACGAAACGUGAGUGACGGUAAUGGGUAAAGAAGCACCAGCUAACUACGUG
rnacentral:rRNA from 1 species